rnacentral:lncRNA from 1 species
UAGGUGGGUCAGCUAUGGCGGUGGCGGUCUAUGAAGAAACUGAAUGCAGAAAACUGCCCUGCACAGGACACAAAUCUUCCACCAGAAACAAGCUCAGCACUGGAAUCUGGUACCUCCAUCUCUAGCAGUAGAGAGGUGUUGCCAGCUCCACCAACAGCUAUCCUGGAGAAUAUGAAUGAAUCUGGAGAGCUAAACCUGAACUUGGCUGAGGGAGGCAAGGGUGGGGGAAGAGUGUAGAGAGGGUAUUCACUGGUGAUGAGGAUACAAGUGGGAUUGUUAAAGAGCUGAGUUGGAACUCCGGUUACCGUGAUAAGGAGGAAAGGAGAGAUGCUUUCUCAGAGGGUGUGAGUGACACAGUCAGUGCAGAGUGGAGAGAGGGAGACUGCUUUGUCCCAGUUGGAGUAGAGGUGACUGAGAUGGCUGCUGAGGGGGAGUUUGAAGAUGGGAUGAGAGCUGAAAUGAAAGAGGGAAAGGGGACAAACAGUUAUGAGUCAGGGGAGGAGUUGGUUGCUGAGAGGGCUGUGAAGAGAAAGAUACAGAGGGAAAACUAGUCCUAGAGAAAGAACACAAGGUGGCUCCCAAGAGGAAGAAUAUAAGGAAACGCAGACGAUCAGCCAAACCUCAAUGUGACAAAGAGGCAAAUUCCAGUGCUUCCUUUGUAGAGACUGUUCUCUCAUGGCUACUGUCAGUCUUCCUAUGGCUGCAGGCAUUCUCACCAACAAUGUUAUGCUGGUCCCCAAGUAAGUUGUAAGAUAUGUACAUGGGAUCCAUUUUCAGGGUCAAGUCCAUUUGAAUUCCGGUAGUACACUGAAAUUCCGAUUCCACAUUUUCUCUUGGAGAAGCAUUAAGGAAAAUUGGAAUUUCAGUUUACAUUCUGAAUUGAAAUGGAAUUGACUCCAACCCUGAUGUGAUCCAUAUGCUAUAGAUAUGCCUCUAAUAUUUUGUUUCUCUGUAGAUAGUUUAUUUUGUAUAGUCAUGCUCGGGGUGGCAUCUGGCACUGGGGGUGU